ACUGUGCUUUCUAGCUGCGCUGGCAUCCCCCCAUUUCUGGGUGGGCAGCGCUUGAUAGAGGAGGGGAGGAGGUGGACGAAACCUGGGCAUCGCCCCCCCCACAAAGAGAGCUGAGCUUCUGAGCGGCGGAGACUGCGAUCCCCAAAACGACCACACGGGGGCGCCAGGACAAGUGCGGACGCGGGCGAGGCAGCGCAAGGUGGUUCUCGUCCGAAGCUGUUGGGGUUUCUUCAGAGAAAGUCAAGCCACUGAUAGAAGGGAGAAACCACUGCUGGCUAUAGAGGGAAAGCACACACGAACCGGUCGUGAACAGACACGACCCAGAGGUACACACAUCGACAAUCUUUCCCUUUUCUCUUUCGAUUCGGACCCUUUCCAAGGUGAUUAACCAAACCGCAAGAUCCAGCCCUCUGCGGGGGCCUUGGGCAGGCAUCCCGCAUCGCAGAUUCACCCCUCCUCUCUCAGGUUCAAGCAGUCCUUGGGCGUGCUCCCUAUAGAUAGCACUGUGGCCGAAUAGGGAGCCUGGCCCCCUCCCCGACUUUCAAGCCCUUACCACCAGCCCAGUAUAGAUCUCUUACUGGCGCCCAGUUAGAUGCUGGCGGUGCCCUCUUCCUAUUGCGCUCAGCAACGCGGGCUCUGCACAGCAAGCAGCUUUGUAACCCACCCUCCCGCCUUCUGGCGCC